UGGGGAAUAUUGCACAAUGGGGGGAACCCUGAUGCAGCAACGCCGCGUGGGUGAAGGAGUAUUUCGGUAUGUAAAGCCCUAUCAGCAGGGAAGAAACAGAGUCCUUACGGACUCCGGACGGUACCUGACUAAGAAGCCCCGGCUAACUACGUGCCAGCAGCCGCGGUAAUACGUAGGGGGCAAGCGUUAUCCGGAUUUACUGGGUGUAAAGGGAGCGUAGACGGCAGGGCAAGUCCGGAGUGAAAGCCCACGGCUUAACCGUGGGACUGCUCUGGAAACUGCAGUGCUGGAGUGCGGGAGGGGCAGGCGGAAUUCCUAGUGUAGCGGUGAAAUGCGUAGAUAUUAGGAGGAACACCGGCGGCGAAGGCGGCCUGCUGGACCGUAACUGACGUUGAGGCUCGAAAGCGUGGGGAGCAAACAGG
rnacentral:rRNA from 1 species